UUAAGCUAAUAAGAGCGCAGGGUGGAUGCCUUGGCACUAAGAGCCGAAGAAAGACGUGAUAAGCUGCGAAAAGCUGCGGGGAGGAGCAAAUGUCCAUUGAUCCGCAGAUGUCUGAAUGGGGAAACCCGUCUGGAAGAACUCCAGUCACUGCAUGUUGAAUACAUAGGCAUGCAGGGGGAACCCGGUGAACUGAAACAUCUAAGUAGCCGGAGGAAAAGAAAGAAAAAUCGAUUUCCAAAGUAGCGGCGAGCGAAAUGGAAGGAGCCCAAACCGGGAUGCGUGCAUUCCGGGGUUAUGGACCGCAAGAAGUGACCCGUAAGAUAGAAGAAUGGCAUUGGGAAAGCCAGCCACAGAGGGUGAAAGCCCCGUAUUCGAAAUCAGAAGGGAGCGAGCGGAAUCCGAAGUACUACGAGACACGUGGAACCUUGUAGGAAAUCGGGGGGACCACCCCCCAAGGCUAAAUACUCCUUAGUGACCGAUAGCGCAUAGUACUGUGAAGGAACGGUGAAAAGAACCCCGGGAGGGGAGUGAAAGAGAACCUGAAACCCUGUGUUUACAAGCUGUGGAAGAGCUUUACAUGCUCAACCGCGUACUUUUUGUAGAACGGUCCGGCGAGUUACUCUUACUGGCAAGGUUAAGCACCAAAGGUGUGGAGCCGAAGGGAAACCAAGUCUUAACAGGGCGAGUUAGUCAGUGUGAGUAGACCCGAAACCGGGUGACCUACCCAUGUCCAGGAUGAAGUUGCCGUAAAAGGCAAUGGAGGUCCGAACACACAUCCGUUGAAAAGGGUGGUGAUGAGGUGUGGGUAGCGGAGAAAUUCCAAUCGAACCCGGAGAUAGCUGGUUCUCCUCGAAAUAGCUUUAGGGCUAGCCUCAAUUUAGUCUUGCGGAGGUAGAGCACUGAAUAUCCUAGGGGGCGUCAAAGCUUACCGAAGAUUAUCAAACUCCGAAUGCCGUAAAGAUGAUGAUUGGGAGUCAGACUGCACGAGAUAAGUUGGGUAGUCAAAAGGGAAACAGCCCAGACCUCCAGCUAAGGUCCCAAAGUGAGUGUUAAGUGGAAAAGGAUGUGGGAUUUCGAAGACAACUAGGAUGUUGGCUCAGAAGCAGCCAUUCAUUCAAAGAGUGCGUAAUAGCUCACUAGUCGAGAGGUCCUGCGCCGAAAAUGUCCGGGGCUAAACACUACACCGAAGCUGAGGAAUGACAAUGUCAUUGGUAGAGGAGCAUUCUUAACUGCGACGAAGCUGUACCGAAAGGAGCAGUGGAGUGUUAAGAAGAGAGAAUGCCGGAAUGAGUAGCGAGAGUGAGGUGAGAAUCCUCACGGCCGAAUAUCUAAGGUUUCCAGGGUAAAGCUGAUCUGCCCUGGGUAAGUCGGGACCUAAGGCGAGGUCGAAAGACGUAGUCGAUGGACAACAGGUUGAAAUUCCUGUACUGCAAUGUAUCAGAAAUGUGGGGACACAGACAGAGAGCCGGAGCCGGGAAUGGAGAAACCGGUGCAAGCGAGGUAGGAGAACAGCAGGCAAAUCCGAUGUUCAAUUUGAAGACGUGACGCGGAGCGAAAUUAAAGUAGCGAAGCCGGUGAGCUGGCUGUCAGGAAAAGCCGCUAUUGUGUACAUUGUACCCGUACCGUAAACCGACACAGGUGGAUGAGGAGAGAAUCCUAAGGCCGACGGAAGAAGCAUUGUUAAGGAACUCGGCAAAAUGGCCCCGUAACUUCGGGAUAAGGGGUGCCUACGAAGGUAGGCCGCAGAGAAUUGGCCCAAGCAACUGUUUAGCAAAAACACAGGUCUAUGCGAAACCGUAAGGUGAUGUAUAUGGGCUGACGCCUGCCCGGUGCUGGAAGGUUAAGGGGAGAGGUUAGACAUGAGUCGAAGCCUUGAACUUAAGCCCCAGUAAACGGCGGCCGUAACUAUAACGGUCCUAAGGUAGCGAAAUUCCUUGUCGGGUAAGUUCCGACCCGCACGAAAGGCGUAAUGAUUUGGGCAC
rnacentral:rRNA from 1 species